rnacentral:tRNA from 1 species
GCCGGAGUGGUGAAAUUGGUAGACGCGCCAGACUCAAAAUCUGGUUUCCCUAGCGGAAGUGCGAGUUCGAUUCUCGCCUCCGGCACCA